UACGGAGGAUGCGAGCGUUAUCCGGAUUUAUUGGGUUUAAAGGGAGCGCAGACGGGAUGUUAAGUCAGCUGUGAAAGUUUGCGGCUCAACCGUAAAAUUGCAGUUGAUACUGGCGUUCUUGAGUGCAGUUGAGGUGUGCGGAAUUCGUGGUGUAGCGGUGAAAUGCUUAGAUAUCACGAAGAACUCCUAUUGCGAAGGCAGCUCACUAAGCUGCAACUGACGUUCAUGCUCGAAAGUGUGGGUAUCAAACAGG
rnacentral:rRNA from 1 species